CUGCGACCUUAUCGAAAUGCAUUUACUAAAGCCAUUGAAGCGCCGCCUGCUGGCACGCAACUCCACAGUUUAAUAAAGUGCAAAUGUACAUGAAAAAAAGGCGACAGUAUAUCUUUAAACACGAGUCAAGAUGCAGUCGCUGGAAUUUGUUUUUCUGCUGCUGCUGCUCACGUUCCCGUCUGGCUGGGCCAACGUGACGUAUGCGCGAUUUAAUUUAACGCUCUACAAGCAAAUGCCGCCCUUGCACCAGCUGGAUGACUACGAUCUGUGCCUGGGGCACAGCACCUACUGCCUGGUCUACGCGGAGCUGGUGCCCAAUGCCAGCUCCACGCUCUGGCAGCAGAUCGAGCAGCUGUCCCGGGACGAGAAACAUCGCUUUAGGCACGAUCAUCUGUUUGUUGGCGUCUGCCUGGAGCGCUGUCAGCGCGAACUUCACAGCCUCAGCAGGUUUCAGCUACAGCAGCUGUACGAGGGUCGCGUCACGGACACGGAGCUGAGCAGCUACUAUGCCCGGGUGCACAAAAGGCCUUCCGAUGAGCGCCUGCGCUACGAUCAUCUGGUCAACAGCUGCCUCAACAAGGAGUUUGCACGCAAAUAUCAAUUGCGACUGCGCAGCAGCAUCGAGUACUGCGAACGGGCAGAUGAGCCGCUGGAACAUGAUGCACUGGACCUGACCGUAUAUGUGCUGCUCGCUCUGCUCCUGCUGUGCACUGUGUUCUCCUCCUUCUACGACUUUCGCCUGAAGCGGCAGCAGACGCUGCCUGCCAGGGCGCAUGGCAAUCUGUUUUAUCGGCAGCCUCUAAGGACACGUGCUGAAAAAUAUUUGUGCGCCUUUUCGCUGUGCCGCAACUAUUAUCGUCUCGUGCUGCCCUCGAGCAGCGUUUGCGGCAAGGAUUUGCGUUUCUUCGAUGCAUUCCGUGUGAUUGGAGUCUUUGUUGUCGUACUCGGGCACACGCUGAUGAUCUUUAUGUCCGUGCAGCUGCAGAAUCCCGAGUUCUUUGAGCAGUUCCUUUACAGAUUCGAGACCUCGAUAUUCCAGAAUGGCAACGUCUUCAUCCAGAUCUUUUUCGUGAUGAGCUCCUUUCUGCUCUACGUGAACUUUACGGAGCGCAAGUGGAUCAGCAACAGCUCGAGCACUUUCGACUGCAUCCGGGUUUACUUCACUGUGUUCCUCAGCAGAUAUUUGAGGAUGUUGCCAUCGCUGGCCCUGAUCAUUCUGUUCAAUAGCAGCAUCCUGAGCAGACUGGGCGAUGGACCCUUCUGGCGGCAUCUGACCGAGCCCGAAAGGAUAUUCUGCCGCGAGACCUGGUGGAAGAACAUAAUAUUCAUCAACAACUAUAUGCUGCAGGAGAGUUGUGCCCAACAGACCUGGUAUAUGGCCGCCGAUAUGCAGCUCUUUGAGCUCUUUCUGAUUGUCAUCAUCCUGACAAAAAAGUAUCCCGGACUGACUCGAUUUAUCUAUAUUUUGCUGAUUAUCUCGAUAUUUGCCGUGCCCGCACUCUUGACCUAUUACCUCAAGCUGGACGCCGUCUACCACAUGAGACCGGAAACCUAUCGAUAUUUGUACUUUCGUGAUGCGGAGACCUUUUACCAGAUAUAUCCGCCCUUCUAUACCAAUCUGGGCGGCUACUUUAUGGGCUUUAUCUGCGGCCAUCUUUAUCUCAAGCAGCGCUCCAGGCCGGAUUCGGGGAGCUUUAAGGUCAAAUGGCAGCUGGAGCUGGGCAUGUGGCUGCUGGUGCCGGCAGCUCUACUGAUACUGUGCUCGGGCUAUAUAUUCAUCAGGCACGACUUUGAGAAGCCCUCCGUCUGGCUGGCUCUCUAUGCCGGCAUCUACAAGAACCUGUGGAUUCUGAUUUGCGCGGCUUUUGUUAGCUGCAUGUGCUAUAAAGUGGGCUGGCUGGCCUACGAAUUUUGCUCGCUUCCCAUUUUCCGGCCUUUGGCGCGCAUUUCCUUUCAGGCUUUUCUCUGGCAUGUCUUUGUGCUGCGCCUGGUUGCAGGCUACUUUCGGCAGCCCAUCUAUGUGAACAGCUUCUAUUUGUUUGGAAAUGUUCUUUUGGUUUUUGUGCUUACGCAAUUGAUUGCAUUCUUUGCGGCGCUCUUAUUUGAAUAUCCGCUGGCAGAGCUCUUAAAAUUGCUGACAGUACAUGAGAAAACGGCUGUUGAGCAAAAAGAGACUACAAACAAUUUAAAUGUAUUUCAAAUUGAGUUUAAUUCCCGUUAAUAUGUUAACAUUCAAACUGAGUUAACAAAAAAUUCUAGUAUUAAGUCGUUAGGGUGACCAACAGUAAGAUAAGGCAUGCCAACCAUUUAGGUUUUGGUAUUUCUUGCGACAAGUUGACAGAGCAGCUGUUGUGUUAUUAUUUCACUAUGCUGAGUUCGGUCACACUGCUUGGUUGUUCAGUUUUGUUUUCUCUCGUCUCGCUCGUCGGCGUUUUGCUACGUUUCGUCUUCUCGUAACCGCAAAUUCUGAAACAGUUCACAACAAUAUAGUGCAAAUUUUCAAAAAUUUCCCAUACUCAAUAAAAAUCAAGUGCACAUGCCCCAGCGUAAAUGCUAAAAUAAAGUAAACCGCACAACGACAAUUAAAUUCAAGAGACCUGCAACGAAUCAUUUUCCCCCGACAACGCCGACCCAGCUCAACUGAACCCGGGCCAAGCUCAUUGUGGAGCAGAGAUACUUAGAACGGGGCCAACGACUCAGCCAAAAAA